AUUGAACGCUGGCGGCAUGCUUUACACAUGCAAGUCGAACGGCAGCGCGGGCUUCGGCCUGGCGGCGAGUGGCGAACGGGUGAGUAAUGCAUCGGAACGUGCCCAGUAGUGGGGGAUAGCCCGGCGAAAGUCGGAUUAAUACCGCAUACGACCUGAGGGUGAAAGCGGGGGACCGAAAGGCCUCGCGCUAUUGGAGCGGCCGAUGUCGGAUUAGCUAGUUGGUGGGGUAAAGGCUUACCAAGGCGACGAUCCGUAGCUGGUCUGAGAAGACGACCAGCCACACUGGGACUGAGACACGGCCCAGACUCCUACGGGAGGCAGCAGUGGGGAAUUUUGGACAAAGGGGGCAACCCUGAUCCAGCCAUGCCGCGUGCGGGAAGAAGGCCUUCGGGUUGUAAACCGCUUUUGUUCGGGAAGAAAUCCUCUGGGCUAAUACCCCGGGGGGAUGACGGUACCGGAAGAAUAAGCACCGGCUAACUACGUG
rnacentral:rRNA from 1 species